rnacentral:rRNA from 1 species
UACAGAGGGUGCGAGCGUUAAUCGGAAUUACUGGGCGUAAAGCGUCCGUAGGUGGUUGGCCAAGUCUGCUGUCAAAGGGUGGGGCUUAACCUCAUAAAGGCAGUGGAAACUGGCGAGCUAGAGUGCGGUAGGGGUAGGGGGAAUUCCCAGUGUAGCGGUGAAAUGCGUAGAGAUUGGGAAGAACAUCGGUGGCGAAAGCGCCCUGCUGGGCCUGCACUGACACUGAGGGACGAAAGCUAGGGGAGCGAAAGGG